GAGUGUUACAGCUCUUAAUGGAAUUUGUCUAGCAGGUUUUUUGGUCUUCACAGGAAACUUCCCCU
ensembl:snRNA U7 U7 small nuclear RNA